rnacentral:rRNA from 1 species
GCGGGGGCAACCCUGGCGGCGAGCGGCGGACGGGUGAGUAAUACAUCGGAACGUGUCCUUUCGUGGGGGAUAACCAGUCGAAAGACUGGCUAAUACCGCAUGAGAUCUCACGAUGAAAGCGGGGGACCGCAAGGCCUCGCGCGAUUGGAGCGGCCGAUGUCGGAUUAGCUAGUUGGCGGGGUAAAAGCCCACCAAGGCGACGAUCCGUAGCUGGUUUGAGAGAACGACCAGCCACACUGGGACUGAGACACGGCCCAGACUCCUACGGGAGGCAGCAGUGGGGAAUUUUGGACAAUGGGCGCAAGCCUGAUCCAGCCAUGCCGCGUGUGUGAAGAAGGCCUUCGGG